rnacentral:misc_RNA from 1 species
GAAUGAACUAGUGAAGAUUAUGGAAUGCAAGGAGAAAGAAAUUGGACACAUAGUCAUACCGGUCUUCUAUUAUGUGGAUCCAUCACAUGUUCGAUACCAAAGUGAGAGCUUUGCAGAAGCAUUUGCCAAACACGAAUCGAGGUAUAAGGAUGAUGUUGAGGGGAUGCAGAAGGUGCAAAGAUGGAGAACUGCCCUAACUGCUGCCGCAAAUCUAAA